CUGGCGGCGUGCUUAACACAUGCAAGUCGAACGAGCAAAGAUUUCUUCGGGAAAUUGAGUAGAGUGGCGCACGGGUGAGUAACGCGUAGGUAAUCUACCCUAAUAUUUGGGAUAACAUUGGGAAACUGGUGCUAAUACCGAAUACCCUUCUUUUCUGUCGGGUUAAGGAGGAAAGGUGGCCUCUUCAUGAAGCUACCGUAUAAGGAUGAGCCUGCGUACCAUUAGCUAGUAGGUGGGGUAAAGGCCCACCUAGGCUACGAUGGUUAGCGGGUCUGAGAGGAUGAUCCGCCCACUGGAACUGGGACCCGGGACCAACUCCUACGGGAGGGC
rnacentral:rRNA from 1 species